CUGUGCUAGACGGGGAGCUAGCGGUGCCCUGAUUCCUGUCCGUGGACAGGAUGACCUGCAAACCGCUAUAGCAGGGUCGAAUUCCUGCUUGAGGUCUAGAUCACCCAGUGUCUCUUUCCCUAAUAUCGAUGUUGAGAGCUCAAGUCCUUCGCAAUGGGACGGUACCCAACCCCGUCAGGACCGGAAGGUAGCAGCGGUAAGUACUUUGCCCAUGUGCCGAAGGGGUGCUUGACUCGAGUUGGUAUUAGGGUAAAACACUGGUGUUGACAGAUCGAAAGCAGGUGCACAG
rfam:Candidate division KSB1 bacterium 4484_219 ex4484_219_scaffold_880, whole genome shotgun sequence.